GAGCUUCUUUCUCUCUUUCUCCAUAUCUAUUUCAGGCAAGGUAACUGAAAACUAACCUAUCAGCCAAGUUUGCACGAUAGAGUAAAUAUCGACAUCAUUUAGGGCAUCUCCAACCCUAAAUCUAUAAGUUGUGGUGUAGCGCAAUACUCUCACAAAUCACACACUAGCACCACUCCAAUGCUUCGUUGACCCAAGGGAGCCUUCGAGAAGUACAUGCUGCCGCCAGCUUCCCAAGAGAGCCUCUGAAAUUCGUGUCGUUGCUAGCUUCGUGUCGUUGCUAGCUUCUCCGUCACAUGACCCAGCCGUUGCACCUAAAGCUGCAUGGAGGCCUGCUUCAACACAAAUCUGUGCCCUACCUUAGCUAUCUGCACCCCCACUACGUCUUUAUUGUGAGUUACUACAACUUGCUAUACUUGAACUCUACUCGAUGGGAAUGUGGCUAAAUAUUUCAACGACUAUUAGGUAAUCAAUGUUUGAAUGUUAUUAAGUAUUUCAAACAGUUAGAUUUUAGAAAGUUUGUAUUGUCGUAGGUUAAACAUAUGUGUUUCAGUCACCAUGCAACCGUUAUGUGCCACACUUUCUUAACAUCUUGUAACACAAGUCAUAUACUCAUUUUCUUACCAAACUUUAUCACAAGUGUGACUUUAGUUUUGAUCACCACA
rnacentral:lncRNA from 1 species